rnacentral:tRNA from 1 species
CUAACUAUGGCAGAUUAGUGCGGAGAAUUUAAGCUCUACAUAUAAAGAUUUAACCUUUUAUUAGAA